AUUGAACGCUGGUGGCAUGCCUUACACAUGCAAGUCGAACGGCAGCACGGGUGCUUGCACCUGGUGGCGAGUGGCGAACGGGUGAGUAAUACAUCGGAACGUACCUUAUCGUGGGGGAUAACGCAGCGAAAGCUGUGCUAAUACCGCAUACGCCCUGAGGGGGAAAGCGGGGGAUCGAAAGACCUCGCGCGAUUAGAGCGGCCGAUGCCUGAUUAGCUUGUUGGUGGGGUAAAAGCCCACCAAGCGGACGAUCAGUAGCUGGUCUGAGAGGACGAUCGGCCACACUGGGACUAAGACACGGCCCAGACUCCUACGGGAGGCAGCAGUGGGGAAUUUUGGACAAAGGGGGCAACCUUGAUCCAGCAAUGCCGCGUGAGUGAAGAAGGCCUUCGGGUUGUAAAGCUCUUUUGUCAGGGAAGAAACACCGGCUCUAACACAGUCCGGGAAUGACGGUACCUGAAGAAUAAGCACCGGCUAACUACGUGCCAGCCGCCGCCGUAA
rnacentral:rRNA from 1 species